rnacentral:rRNA from 1 species
GAUGAAUGCUGGCGGCGUGCCUAAUACAUGCAAGUCGAGCGGUAAGGCCCUUCGGGUACACGAGCGGCGGACGGCUGAGUAACGCGUGGGAACAUGCCCCAAAGUGAGGGAUAACGCACCGAAAGGUGUGCUAAUACCGCAUAUGGUCUUCGGAUUAAAGGAUUUAUCCGCUUUGGGAGUGGCCCGCGUACGAUUAGAUUGUUGGUGAGGUAACGGCUCACCAAGUCGACGAUCGUUAACUGGUCUGAGAGGAUGAUCAGUCAGACUGGAACUGAGACACGGUCCAGACUCCUACGGGAGGCAGCAGUAAGGAAUCUUCCAACAAUGGGGCGAAAAGCCUUGAUGGAGC